rnacentral:misc_RNA from 1 species
UCAAACUUGGUCAUUUAGAGGAAGUAAAAGUCGUAACAAGGUCUCCGUAGGUGAACCUGCGGAGGGAUCAUUACCUAUGUUCCUCGAUCGGCUCCGGCCGACCGACCACAUACACCCCUUCUUUACGCGUACCUUUUGUUCUCCUUCGGCGGGGCAACCCGCCGCUGGAACUACCAUAACCUUUUGCAUCCAGCAUUACCUGUUCCGAUAACCAUAAUCGUUACAACUUUCAACAAUGGAUCUCUUGGCUCUGGCAUCGAUGAAGAACGCAGC